UAAUCAUAGCGAUUGAAUCUUCUGUAUCUUACCUAUCUGUUUUAUCGAUAAAAGUGGCGAAAUUUGUCCGCUUCUAACCACUUAUAAGUCGAAGAAUUGAAGUUUGAUCCAUCAAGUAACAAGCUUUUUAAAACAUUUGUGUAAAAUAAUGAAAUUGUUCAAAAGUUUUCUCAGUAUUUACACUUUUUUCGUAAUUUUUUCAAAAUGUGUAUGUAUGACGAGCUAUGACGAUGAGGAAGAGCUACCGAAUGAUGUCGAAAAACUGCAACAAAUGGUUAAAUCUUUGAAGGAAGACUAUGAAUAUUUGAAGGAAGUUAUGCUAGGAGAAGUUCCAAUGCGUCAUCGACGAACAAUGUUGAAAAAAAAUGAAUGAAUUGGAUCAAAUGACCGAAGAGUGUAAGAUCUAUAGGAAUUCAACAACAAGAGUCCUGGAGUUGAAGUAGAAUAAAUUAGAUGCAUGUAUUUUCCGAACAUUAAAAAUCAAGGAUCCGCUUUUAAAUUUCCUCAUCCGUAGCAUAUCAUUUACAUGGAUGAUCACUGGUCACCUAUAGGUAUACUUGCUGGAAUUCCAAUCUCUAAACAACCGAACCUACCCGAAAAAUAUAUUUCAGUCAAGCUCAACGUAUCUGAGUACCUGCAGGAGUUUCCUGUUUCUAUCCCAAAUUAACACAAACUUAGGAACGUCGAGAUGUUAUUUUUGGAAGACCCACUGAAAUUUAAAAUGCGGAUGGAAAAAGAAUACGUGGAUUACAAAAUAAACGAAUUUUAUUCCGGCUAUAAUUGAUA